ensembl:lincRNA
CUCUGGCAUAAAAGCUAUGUCUGGGGAGGAGCGAUGGAAGCUAAUACAGCUUCUCCUCCUGGGAGAACUGCUGCCUGCGUUUGUAGUUCACCCUGUGGGUCUGCAGUGAGAAACAGCACAGUAGAAAAAGAUCUCUGAGCCCAGCGGGGGAGGUGGACCCAUUGCAGCUGCCUAAGGGGAGGCAGGCGGGGAGCUCCAGCCCCCAGCAUCUCGUGGUACUGAGUCCUUGCUGCCUUUUCUCCACAGAUGAAGAUGGCAAAUAAAUGCUGCUCUCCUGGCAACCAGGUGGUGCACAUGGGGUGGGUGUACGAGAGGCUGCAGGGAGCUGACUCCCCCCAGACCUUUGCAUCAAAGUUCCUGGCACUGAAGGGCUCGUCCGUCUACAUCCUCUGCUCUCCUCCGCUCUACAGGAAUCCACUUCUGUCUUCCGGUUCCAGCACCUGUUCAGAUGUCGUAGUUUUCCUGACAGAGAUGAUCAGUGGGCUUGGAGGUACGUUGUGGACCCUGCCUGACAGCUUGCUGGGAAAAGGAGCCGCUCCGUCUGUGAAUCUGACCACAAGGACAGUGAAUGAACAACAAAACUUGGUGGCUCAGGAUGAAGAUUGAGUCAGAUUGGAUGCGAACCGCAGCCUUAGAAGUCAAGAAAGCAACAGUGAUCUUCAGACAGAAGACAGUAGUAAACCGCAGGCUUUCUGUUUAUUGACAAGUGCAGCAUUUUAAAUAAGUCAUUCUGGAAUAAUUUUAGGCUUGCAGAAGUUGAUGCCUCCCUUAGCUCCUUGCACUGUGCAUACCCUACAUAGCCACUGGAUGAAGGCAGAUGGCUGACGAGUGCUCCUUAGGAGAACUCGUGAUUGAGUACACACCUGCUUUGCAAACACGAUUUUCCCUGUCCCAUCUGUAUGUACUUCUUCUCCCUGUCUUUCUCCCUGUUUUUCUCCAAGUCCUGGAGCUCUUCAUGCUCAGGUGGUUUUCUCACAGUUCCACUAGUGCACAGCCUACUGUCCCGGGGAUGCUGUUCAAAAGCAGAUCCUCAAGGCAGUAGAUCUGGGUCACCUGAGGCCCAGCCUCUCCAAGUUCCAGGGGAUGCUGAGCCCUUCCCAACAGACCAAUUGUCUUCUCAGAAAUGAAAGGCAGCUUGUACCUGGAGUGUAGAAGUCUGCAACAGGUUGAGCUAAGUAGAUGAUCACGGCCACUUCAGAGGGGCCUGAUGAGGAGGAUACUCUCUAGACUUGCAGUUCUGUGGCUGCACCAUGGGCUGGGCCAAACUGUAGUGUCACCCUGGCACCUGUAGUGGGGGCACUGCCCCUGCUGUGCUGUCAGGAAAAGCUCUGGGCUUGUCUAAAACUCAGGAAACCCUCCUGCCUGUGCCUCCCAGGUGCUGGGAUUAUAGACCUAUGCAACCACAGAGCAGCCACCUUGUGUCUAUGAGGUACAUUGUUGCGAUGAGGAACUAGUACUGAUACACCAGCCUAACUGCAAUAACUCAAGUCCUACUAGCCCCUCAUGGCUUUCAGGAGCUCCCAGAUACAGGGUUUGCUCCAGACCCAGAGACUCUGAGCAUCUUGGCAGCUACUUCACCUGUGUCUCUCCCCGGGCAGUGUCUCCUGAAGUCCAUCACCAUGGCUCUGACCACGAGACGUGUGAUCUGAUUUAUGUGCAUCCCUGGAGAGAGGAGUCCAGCUCUGGAGCUGGGGUGGAGAGGGGUCAGGUUGUCCCCCUCCAGAGAUGGACGUGACCCGGGGCAGGAACAAUAACACCAAUGGUGAACAGAGAAGCCGUUGUUGGUCUACUACAGGUGCCCAGGAAGAGUUGCUUGGUGAAUGCGCUGUGGGCCCAGUGGAAUGGGGGAGGAGACAGGCUGCAUCUCGAAAACUGGAAAGAGCACAGUCUCCUCCCAUCUUUCACUUAGAAGGUGACUCUGAUGGUUAUAUGUGGGUAGCAAACUGGUGAGGAAAAAUGCAUUCAAUGCAAUAGAAUAUUAAGAUAUAAUGUCCUUUAAAUACACCAAUCAUAGCUCGGUCACAAUGGCUAAUACCUCAGAGCCACUUAGAAUGUAAAUCCCAAAGGCAGCACUGGCAAGCGUGAUAAAUGUGCACACUGACAUUCUAAGCAGUCAUGAGAAUUUUGUUUCUGAAAGAAAUGAUGACAUGGGGAAUGCUGAUACCAUUACAUUUUAAAAAGACAUAAAAUUAUGAGUGUGUACAAUGCAUAUAUACAGCACCAAGGCAGCCCUUUCAGGGAGGGCAUCUCCAGAACAUGUCUUCAUUCACUGGUGCUUUUCAGAUUCUUCAGAUUUUGAUCCUUUGUACUUUUGAGAUGAGCAGCAUUGUCAUAAUGGGAAAUUUAAAAUGAUGCAUACAGAGACUUUUUUUUUUCCAGUGGUGUGAAUAGCCCCUGCGCUCUGCCAGGAGGAGGGGCUGUAAGAUGCUGCAGCUGGGAAUCUCAGAAGUUGGGAGAGGUGGGGUUUGGGGAUCUGUGACACCAACUUUAAGCUGGGGGGUGGGUCACUUAGCGUCCUGAGCCCUUGCCUAGGGAGUGUCUUCACAUUAGUGGUCUAACUGCUCCUUGUGGCUUCAGGCUGUUUCUGAACCUUGUUUUUUAUUGUUGAAAUCACAGGGCAGCGAGUUGGCUCUGGAGAGUUAGUGCCGAACACUCACACUGGCCCAGCUUUCUGAGGCGGUGACCAGGAAAGCCAGCUCAGUCUCCCCCACCUCCUCUUUGGUUAAAUGAUCACUAGGAAUUCGCAAGUGGUUUUGGUGCCUCCAAGACACAAUACAGCAAGCUUUUGAUUUUUACUGCUUGAAAGACUAGAGGCAAAGCCCA